rnacentral:piRNA from 1 species
UCCUGAAUCAUUUCCGCAAUA